AUGUCGCUACAGGAAAUUGACCACUCCCCAACAACGGCUUCACUCAGUAAAUCCAGCCCAAAUAGUAAUGGUGAAAAGCUGAUGUCUACGCCUUUGAGCAGUACACCAAGGUCAAGUCAUCCGAGGUCAUUGGGUUCACUGUCUUCACGUAAAAGGAGUCGAGGAGACUUCAAGUCACCAAUGAGAAAUCAAGGUGAAAAGAAGCAAGAAGAAACCCCAGAGUCCAUCGAGAGAGAGAACGACAAACUGAGAGCUAGACUAUCAGAGUUAGACGAAGAGAUUUCAGAGCUGAAGGAUGUAAGGUCUGAGCGAGGAUGAGCUCCAGCUUCACAUCCAGAAGAUGCAUGAGUACAAUGAACUAAGGACAUGACUCAGAUGCUUCUAGGGAGAAUAGCCAUGUUUGAGGGAGUAACGACGAGACAACUUCAUGAAGAAAUGGGACUAGGGGAAGACUGACAAACGCUGAAAACCUGAAAAGAUGAUGGGUUCUUCAUUGUCUGUUUCUCUGCGGCGUACUUCUCCCUCAUGAUCUGCUCGUCGAUCUCCUUCUCUCUCCUCUGACGAAGCAGCCCUUGCUUAGGGGUCACG